GCAGAAGAAAGGUGCCAGCAUGAAGUUGUUCAUUGUUGUGUGUGCGUUAGAUCAACAAAUAAGGGAUAAAAGAGUGCUGCAGCUAUGAAUCCAGCAGAGGGCACUGUCUCACAUGUUAAUUCACUCAACAUUCUCCAGCCGGAAGAUGCUUUGACAAGACGUGUAACUGCAUGUCUUCGAGACAGAAAUAGAACACGCCAACAACUGAAAAUGGAUUUGAUACAAUUGAGCUGACUGAUGGCUUUUCCUUGAAGAAAACUCAUGGAAAAUGUGCAAAGAUCUAACACAGGCUGGGAAGUGUUCUUUAUUCCCAAACACAGCAACAAAUGCAUAUUUGAGUUAUGAUAAGAUGAGAUGCAAAUAUCAUCACUAGCCAUUCAUAAAUCUCUUUUUCUGCAAACAAUAUCAUUCAUUUUUUAGGAGAUUUUUCUACAUUCUGGAUAAAAAAUGAUGACUUGGCUCAGACUUGAUAUAGGUCCAUGUUGUUAUUAGUUGUUUUCGUCCCUGCCUCCUCCGUGCCUGUGUUUUCUUUUCCUUGCAGAUGUCCUUGCUCUGGCUGAAGGCAGGACAACUGGGCACACCUGCAGCUGAUUGCUUUGCUAUCCACUUAAGCUGACUGCUUGCAGCUGUGAGACGCUGGCUCGAUCUUUGAUGCCUGCUUGUCACUCUUGCGUGGACUUGGUCAUUUGCCUGCAGCACAUGUGUCAAUGGAGGGCCCGAAACACUGCAGGUUUUCUCUCCAACCAGUUUCUCCAGCAGGUGAUUUCAUUGAUGACCUCCUUCCCUCAAAUUGAAGGAGGUGUUGAUCAUUAAAAUCACUUUUGUGACCGGCUGGAAAAAAAACCUGCAGUGUCUCGGCCCUCCAUGGCACGACUUCGACACCCCUAGCCUAGAGGAUUACUUCUUUGUUCACGACAUUUUCCUGCGUUUUAAGGACUAUUGCGAAGCGUCACCUGCAGGAUUAGCCCAGUUGCUACCCUGCCUUCCAAGCCAGCUUUUGACCUAUGUUGACCUUUUGCGAGUACAAUUGCUUCCAUGGAGUUUUUCUGCUAGUUCUUUUGUUAGUGAAUUUUGUUUUUGUUGAUACUUGGCUUAAUAAAAGACUUGAAUUGGACUUCCGGUGGCACGCUAACAAGAUGGACAUGUAGUUGUGGGCUCCCUAGUAUCGGCUUUCAAAAGUACCUCCAAUUAAUACAAACCAGCCUUACAGAUAUUCUAACCCGAUUAUGAAAGGAGGGAAACAGCAAAGGAGUCAUAAGGCAACCAAAACACAGUGAAUGGCGGAGAAAGAUGACUGGAGAAAUGGCAACAAAGAUGAAGUGGCUCCAGAAGCUAACACGGCUAUUGAUGAUGCAAUGCUUCGUGGUCUUUCACGCCUUACCCCGGAGUUUAACAGCUUUAAAGACGACUUGAAUCAACGCUUCAGCGACACAAUGCUAACAUACUGGAGCUGGAGUCAGCCUGCCAAGCAAUGAAAGACGUGCUUCUGACUGUGGUGAAGGAAAAAGUCGACUUGGGGAAACAAGAUUGUUUGUUUGUUUCUUCUCAGCCGAUUCUCCAGAUCAGCAAUCUUUGGAUUUAUGGGAUACCAGAGGAGGCAGAAGGGACACCAAUAAUCGAUUUUGUGAACACUUUGCUUAAGAAACACCUCACACUGAUGUGCAAAUACAGUGAGCUCACCAGGCGCUUUGACCCAAACCUAAUACGCCCGCAGCUUCCAGAUCAAUUGUAGUUAACUUCCUGCAGUUGUACGUGAAGGAGAUGGUUCUACAGAAAGCACGGCAGAAGAUCGACUCUACUUUGACGACUAUGCUGCUGCUAUUUUGGAAAAGUGCAAGGCAUAUGGCCCAAUAAAAGUGUUAUUGACGCAGAAGGGCAUUCGUUUUUUUGAAACACCCUACACGAAGAUGCGAGUGCACUGGGAAACAUGACUUCAGAUCCACGAGAGUGCACGUGAGGCGGCCCAGCAUCUAAACAAACAAGGCAUCGAGGUGACAUAACGAGGGAGCACCCAGCGGCAACAGUGGAGGGGCGACUGAGGGAGCUGUUGCCAUGGAAACGAUUCGGCGCGGCAGACACAACUGCACAACAUGUGAAGGAAAGGCCCACUGAGUUCAGAAGAAACCACCGGC